rnacentral:rRNA from 1 species
AACGAACGCUGGCGGCAGGCCUAACACAUGCAAGUCGAGCGAGAUCUUCGGGUCUAGCGGCGGACGGGUGAGUAACGCGUGGGCAUAUGCCUCUUGGUACGGAAUAGCCUCGGGAAACUGGGAGUAAUACCGUAUGUGCCCUUUGGGGGAAAGAUUUAUCGCCAAGAGAUUAGCCCGCGUUGGAUUAGGUAGUUGGUGGGGUAAUGGCCUACCAAGCCGACGAUCCAUAGCUGGUUUGAGAGGAUGAUCAGCCACACUGGGACUGAGACACGGCCCAGACUCCUACGGGAGGCAGCAGUGGGGAAUCUUAGACAAUGGGGGCAACCCUGAUCUAGCCAUGCCGCGUGAGUGAUGAAGGCCUUAGGGUUGUAAAGCUCUUUCAGCUGGGAAGAUAAUGACGGUACCAGCAGAAGAAGCCCCGGCUAACUCCGUG